ensembl:snRNA LOC120103370 U4 spliceosomal RNA
AGCUUUGCGCAGUGGCAGUAUCGUAGCCAAUGAGGUUUAUCCAAGGCGCGAUUAUUGCUAAUUGAAAACUUUUCCUAAAGCUCAUGCUUUGUCAUUUCCUUUCAUUACAUAGAGGGAAGUCUUUUUUUCUGGCAUUAAUCCUCUUUA